AGAGCCAAGUGUAUUGAAGAUGAAAGUUUAACGCAUGUGCUAUCUGCCCCAAUUGAUUUUCCAAAUUCUUGAUCGACGCAUUUAUGCUUUGUGUAUUCAGAUCUGUUUUAUUUUGUUUCCUUUCAUGUUCCUCGUGUUUCUUUUCAGAAGCUGUAAUAAAUCUAUCCAAGGCUUCUUCCCAACUUGCUUUCCGCUCUGGUUGUUGUGUCUGAUUUUGAAACCCGGAAUUAUUUUGUUGUCUCG
rnacentral:lncRNA from 1 species